GCAAACUUGGUCAUUUAGAGGAAGUAAAAGUCGUAACAAGGUAACCGUAGGUGAACCUGCGGUUGGAUCAUUAAAAAGUUGGUUGCUUAAAAAGCACCAUCACAUCUUGUGAACUUACGAUUGUUAUUGGCGGUUCAAUGCGAUUAAACUGCUUUAGCAGGCCGCCAACAAACGUCAAACAAACUUUUGAUAGUUGUCUUACUUCCAUUUUUGGAAACAAAAAUUGAAAACAACUUUUGGCAACGGAUCUCUUGGCUCUCGCAUCGAUGAAGAACGCAGC
rnacentral:misc_RNA from 1 species